rnacentral:rRNA from 1 species
UACGGGGGGGGCAAGCGUUGUUCGGAAUUACUGGGCGUAAAGGGAGCGUAGGCGGUCUUAUAAGUCAGUGGUGAAAUCUCGUUGCUUAACAACGAACGUGCCAUUGAUACUGUAGGACUUGAGUACAGUUGCCGUUGGCGGAAUGUGUCAUGUAGCGGUGAAAUGCAUAGAUAUGACACAGAACACCGAUUGCGAAGGCAGCUGACGAAACUGUAACUGACGCUGAGGCCCGAAAGCGUGGGGAUCAAACAGG